GUGUUUUUAGUAUAUGCAGUACACUUACCUUCCAAGUAAAAAGAUUAUAGUUUAAAAAACAUACA
rnacentral:tRNA from 1 species